GGGGCCGCGGGGCGGGGUUCGCGUUCACCCUGGUAACAGCACCGCUGCGGGGCCGCGCCCUGCCCGAGCCGUCCCCGGCGCCAUGCAGGGCGAGGACGCCCGGUACCUCAAGAGGAAGGUAAAAGGAGGCAACAUAGAUGUGCAUCCGUCGGAGAAAGCCCUCAUUGUCCAUUAUGAAGUGGAAGCAACAAUUCUGGGGGAGACAGGAGACCCUAUGCUGGGGGAGCGCAAAGAGUGUCAGAAAAUCAUUCGGCUAAAGAGUCUCAAUGCAAAUACAGACAUUGCUUCCCUGGCUCGAAAGGUGGUUGAAGAAUGCAAGCUCAUUCACCCUUCCAAACUUGCAGAAGUGGAACAGCUGUUAUACUAUCUACAGAACCGCAGAGAUGCGUCAGCAGGAAAAGAAAAGAAAGAGAAAUCCAGUAAGCCAAAAGAUCCACCACCAUUUGAAGGCAUGGAGAUUGAUGAAGUUGCCAAUAUCAAUGACAUGGAUGAGUACAUUGAAUUACUGUAUGAGGACAUUCCCGACAAGGUGCGUGGCUCUGCCCUCAUCUUGCAGCUGGCUCGGAAUCCCGAUAAUCUGGAAGAACUGCUUAUCAAUGAAACUGCCCUGGGUGCAUUGGCUAGAGUGCUGCGAGAGGACUGGAAACAAAGUGUGGAACUUGCUACCAAUAUAAUAUACAUUUUCUUCUGCUUCUCAAGUUUUUCUCAAUUUCACGGCAUAAUCACACACUACAAAAUUGGAGCUCUGUGUAUGAAUAUCAUAGACCAUGAGCUGAAGAGGCAUGAGCUUUGGCAGGAAGAACUUGCUAAAAAGAAGAAAGCUGUUGAUGAAGAUCCUGAAAAUCAAACUUUGAAGAAGGACUAUGAGAAAACCUAUAAGAAAUAUCAAGGGCUAGUUGUCAAGCAGGAGCAGCUACUCAGAGUUGCACUUUACCUGCUCCUGAAUCUCGCAGAGGAUACUCGCACUGAGCUGAAGAUGAGAAACAAGAACAUUGUCCAUAUGUUAGUGAAAGCCCUGGACCGUGAUAAUUUUGAGCUGCUUAUCCUGGUUGUAUCUUUCUUGAAGAAACUUAGCAUUUUCAUGGAGAACAAAAAUGAUAUGGUAGAAAUGGAUAUUGUUGAAAAACUUGUGAAAAUGGUACCUUGUGAACAUGAAGACCUCCUGAACAUCACCCUCCGACUCUUACUGAAUCUCUCCUUUGACACAAGCCUGAGAAAUAAAAUGGUGCAAGUUGGUCUGCUUCCCAAACUCACUGCGCUCCUAGCAAAUGAAAACUACAAGCAAGUAGCUAUGUGUAUUCUAUAUCACAUAAGCAUGGAUGAUCGUUUCAAGUCGAUGUUUGCAUAUACAGACUGUAUCCCACAGCUGAUGAAAAUGCUCUUUGAGUGUCCUGAUGAGAGAGUUGACCUGGAGCUUAUUUCUUUCUGUAUUAACCUUGCUGCUAACAAAAGAAAUGUGCAACUUAUCUGUGAAGGAAAUGGUUUGAAAAUGCUCAUGAAAAGAGCGUUGAAAUUUAAGGACCCAUUGUUAAUGAAGAUGAUCAGGAAUAUUUCACAACACGAUGGGCCUACUAAAAAUCUGUUUAUUGAUUAUGUUGGUGAUUUGGCAGCUCAAAUAUCAAAUGAUGAAGAGGAAGAAUUUGUGAUUGAAUGCCUGGGAACGCUUGCAAACUUGACCCUACCAGAUCUGGAUUGGGAGCUUGUGCUGAAAGAGUACAAACUCGUUCCAUACCUCAAGGAUAAGCUGAAACCAGGUCUGUACAAAGGUUCUGCAGAAGAUGACCUUGUUUUAGAAGUGGUGAUAAUGAUUGGAACUGUUUCUAUGGAUGACUCUUGUGCUGCUCUGCUGGCCAAAUCUGGAAUCAUUCCUGCCCUCAUUGAGCUUUUAAAUGCUCAGCAGGAAGAUGAUGAGUUUGUCUGCCAGAUCAUCUAUGUUUUUUAUCAGAUGGUCUUCCACCAAGCCACCAGAGAUGUCAUUAUCAAAGAAACUCAGGCUCCAGCAUAUCUUAUAGACCUGAUGCAUGAUAAAAAUGCUGAGAUACGCAAAGUUUGUGACAACACUCUGGACAUUAUAGCGGAAUAUGAUGAGGAAUGGGCGAAAAAAAUUCAGAGUGAGAAAUUUCGAUGGCACAACUCUCAGUGGCUGGAGAUGGUGGAGAGUCGGCAGAUGGAUGACAGUGAGCAGUAUCUGUAUGGGGAUGAUCCUAUUGAGCCCUACAUCCACGAAGGAGAUAUUCUGGAAAGACCUGAUCUCUACUACAAUGCAGAUGGCCUAAUAGCACCCGAUGGAGCAGUGAGUCCAGACUUCUUCAGUGACUAUCAUCUUCAAAACGGAGACCUCGUUGGGCAGCAUCCCUUCUCUAGCAGUCUUUGUGUCUUCUGGGAAGAAUCUUGAGCGUCCAUGGAUAAGAGUUAAAGUAGAUCACUCAGCCUCAAAUUUCAAGCCCUUUUCAGGGAGUUGCAUUAGUAAGAUGCGUUUUCAUCCGAUUGUCUUCCCACUAAAUUGAGUAGCAAAGUAUACCUGGUAUAUCCUUAAUUAAAAUAAACAUUUGUACAACUUCUUUGCAAUGUCUCCAGGGGUUUUGGAGGCCUGCCUCAAAAACAGAGGACAGACAAAAACUAGUUUGACUAACAACGAGCUUAGUAAUUGCCUGCUGUUGAUAGCCCCUGUAAAUAUUCAGAUUUCUCAUUACAAUUCUGUUUUCUAGGAAAGCUUUUUUUUUUUUGUAUGAUUGCUCCAUGGGUUUAUCUGCAGUCCAGACGCAGUCUAAUUGGAAACAGCGUGUACUGCUGCAAAUGUUCUGUCCCAUUUGUAACAGAGCAGGACUGAAUUGUUUGAUAGAAUAGAUACUGGCAGUCGGAUGGCGAAUCCUAGUUUUCAGAUGUGUGUCAUUAUCGUUUUGAACUUCUUGGCGCCAGAAGCCAGGAUUUCCUGAUGCUUAGAGCUAAUGUAAAAUGCAUUAUUGCUCUGAGGCAUGAGCCGUGGAACUGCCAGUCCCAUGAGCUUGAAGAGUCAGACCCUCCCUUUUCCCAAAUUUGAAUUGGUGUUGGAAGGUAAAACCAUACGUGCUACAGACCCUAAUUAAAAAUAAUAGCAGCAAGUCAAGGCUCUUUUUAUGUGUUAUAUAGUGUACAUUUCAUCCAUACCAAAACAUAAUUCUAGGGUAUUUUUAUGCUUACAGUUUAGAGCUAACAAGAACCUUAUGUCAGGGAUUUGUUUUCAACCAGUUCCAGCUUUUAAUAAAUCUAGAUUUUUGUUAUAAAAAUGGUUCGUGUUUCUAUUAUUAAUAUUUGGGUAUGUUUUCAGAAACUUUUAAAGAAAGCUGAGUUACGAUUGUCAAUUAAUGGUAACAUUUUUUGUGAGUUUGAAGGGGGAUGGCUUUUAUAAUGAGUAAAUGCAUGUUUUUCAGUCUUCUCAUUUGUUAUACUUUAUUAUGCGUUUAGUUGUUGUGGUUGUGUCUUCUGGUCUUGGUUUUUUUUUUUAGUAUGUAUUUAUUAGGCUUUAUUUUGUAGUAGAAAGAGCUGUUUACUAAGCAAUGGAGAGAGCUGGUAAGGAGUCUUUUCCACUGUCUAAGCGUGCCCUGAGAAAUUUGAGGUAGGUAAUGACCACGAGGAGACUUCUUUCUACUCAGCUUUGAGUAAUUCUUUCUCCUUCUUUUCUGCAGUCCUGUGAGGAAGAGUUAGAAUACAUCCGGUCUUUAAUUUCUCUGAUGGUUUUUCUUAGCCUCGUGUCAUGUUAAGACUGGAUUAGGGCUUCUCCUUGUCUUCAGGAGAGCCUGCAUAAAUGUACCUACAGGUCAGCUGUAAAACCUGACCUUUCUAGUGCCUGCGUAUCGUUGAGAAACUGCGUUGGCAUUGAACUAUUGCUGCUGCCCCCAGUACAUUUAUAAGGGAGGCAUUACUGAGACUGAAGCCUGUCUGAUCACCAGCUUAUUUUUUUGGAGCCAAGGAAAGGGAUCUGUAAGGAAAGUUUUCAAGGAUCGCAGCCGAACUCAAGUUGCUUGAAAGAUUUUCACCAUAAGCAAUAUUCAGCGAUACCUGUAUGAGGAAAGUCAGCCCACACCAGUUGCCGUGUAUCAGAUUGUUAUACCAGUUAUGCUGCAUGAAGCAGAUAGUGAAAACCACGUGCUGCUUUGGUUGUAGGAUGUUAGCUCUAGCAGAGGUCCAAGGACUACCUUUGAAGUUCCACCAAGUUGUAUUCAAGAAAAUUCAGGGGCAAUGGAGCAGCAGAUGUAUACAGAUGUGUGAUCAGUGAAAUUACUGACUUCAGUGUAACGCAGUCUGGACAUCACUGCAAUCUCCUGUGGAGUCCCUGUCCUAAGAGAGACAGUACCUCCAUACCCAGCUGUGCUGCACAGUCUUAUGUAGGUAGGCAAGAAUAAAGCAGGAGAUGUAAAAAGUUGCUUAUAUGCACCUGGGCUCCCUGAGCUAGCACAGGGGUUUUUUUCCCCAUUAUUUUUUAACAAGGAAGCAUGAAGUAAUAGUAUUAGCAGUAAGAACAUCUACACAUUUGUUGAACCAGGUGGAAUACCCCAAGGGUUGAAUUUUUCAAAGACAUUGCUUUCCCUUUAUAGGGUUGCUUGGACUUCCCUUUGAAAACUAGACUACUGACUACUGUCAGACUUGAGAAUGCUGCCUUGGAUGAUGAGUUCCUGCAGUACAGAACGACUUUGAAAAGAACUGUAGGAGUACCUAACCCUGAAUUUGUUUUGUAAAUUUGCAUGCUAUUCUGGCCACAUCAUAAAGCAGCAUUGGAGUUGAUGGGUUUGGUCAAUCCCCAGGAGUUCCCGGCCGCCCAGCGACCGCGUAUGGUUACCGCCCCGACGAACCUUACUACUACGGCUACGGAGCACGAUAAAGCACCGCGCUGCUGCUCCCUGCCUG